AUUUAUAUAGUUUAAAAAAACAUUACACUUUCAUUGUAAAGUUGAGAUCUGUCUCUAUAAAUA
rnacentral:tRNA from 1 species